ACGCUGGCGGCGUGCUUAACGCAUGCAAGUCGAACGAUGAAGCCUAGCUUGCUAGGUGGAUUAGUGGCGAACGGGUGAGUAAUACGUGAGUAACCUACCUUUAACUCUGGGAUAAGCCUGGGAAACUGGGUCUAAUACCGGAUACGACCAAUCUCCGCAUGGGGUGUUGGUGGAAAGCGUUAUGUAGUGGUUAUAGAUGGGCUCACGGCCUAUCAGCUUGUUGGUGAGGUAACGGCUCACCAAGGCGACGACGGGUAGCUGGCCUGAGAGGGUGACCGGCCACACUGGGACUGAGACACGGCCCAGACUCCUACGGGAGGCAGCAGUGGGGAAUAUUGCACAAUGGGCGCAAGCCUGAUGCAGCGACGCCGCGUGAGGGAUGACGGCCUUCGGGUUGUAAACCUCUGUUAGCAGGGAAGAAGAGAGAUUGACGGUACCUGCAGAGAAAGCGCCGGCUAACUACGUGCCAGCAGCCGCGGUAAUACGUAGGGCGCGAGCGUUGUCCGGAAUUAUUGGGCGUAAAGAGCUUGUAGGCGGUUUGUCGCGUCUGCUGUGAAAGGCCGGAGCUUAACUCCGUGUAUUGCAGUGGGUACGGGCAGACUAGAGUGCAGUAGGGGAGACUGGAAUUCCUGGUGUAGCGGUGGAAUGCGCAGAUAUCAGGAGGAACACCGAUGGCGAAGGCAGGUCUCUGGGCUGUAACUGACGCUGAGAAGCGAAAGCAUGGGGAGCGAACAGGAUUAGAUACCCUGGUAGUCCAUGCCGUAAACGUUGGGCACUAGGUGUGGGGGACAUUCCACGUUUUCCGCGCCGUAGCUAACGCAUUAAGUGCCCCGCCUGGGGAGUACGGCCGCAAGGCUAAAACUCAAAGAAAUUGACGGGGGCCCGCACAAGCGGCGGAGCAUGCG
rnacentral:rRNA from 1 species